CAUAUACUCCCUCUGUCCGAAAAUACUUGUCAUCAAAAUGGAUAAAAGAAGAUGUAUCUAGAUGUAUUUUAGUUCUAGAUACAUCUUCUUUUAUCCAUUUUGAUGACAAGUAUUUUCGGACAGAGGGAGUAUGAC
rnacentral:pre_miRNA from 1 species